rnacentral:rRNA from 1 species
GGUGAGUAAUACUUAGGAAUCUGCCUAUUAAUGGGGGACAACAUCUCGAAAGGGAUGCUAAUACCGCAUACGCCCUACGGGGGAAAGCAGGGGAUCACUUGUGACCUUGCGUUAAUAGAUGAGCCUAAGUCGGAUUAGCUAGUUGGUGGGGUAAAGGCCUACCAAGGCGACGAUCUGUAGCGGGUCUGAGAGGAUGAUCCGCCACACUGGGACUGAGACACGGCCCAGACUCCUACGGGAGGCAGCAGUGGGGAAUAUUGGACAAUGGGGGGAACCCUGAUCCAGCCAUGCCGCGUGUGUGAAGAAGGCCUUAUGGUUGUAAAGCACUUUAAGCGAGGAGGAGGCUCUUCUAGUUAAUACCUAGGAUGAGUGGACGUUACUCGCAGAAUAAGCACCGGCUAACUCUGUGCCAGCAGCCGCGGUAAUACAGAGGGUGCGAGCGUUAAUCGGAUUUACUGGGCGUAAAGCGUGCGUAGGCGGCUUUUUAAGUCGGAUGUGAAAUCCCCGAGCUUAACUUGGGAAUUGCAUUCGAUACUGGGAAGCUAGAGUAUGGGAGAGGGUGGUAGAAUUCCAGGUGUAGCGGUGAAAUGCGUAGAGAUCUGGAGGAAUACCGAUGGCGAAGGCAGCCAUCUGGCCUAAUACUGACGCUGAGGUACGAAAGCAUGGGGAGCAAACAGGAUUAGAUACCCUGGUAGUCCAUGCCGUAAACGAUGUCUACUAGCCGUUGGGGCCUUUGANGCUUUAGUGGCGCAGCUNACGCGAUAAGUAGACCGCCUGGGGAGUACGGUCGCAAGACUAAAACUCAAAUGAAUUGACGGGGGCCCGCACAAGCGGUGG